rnacentral:lncRNA from 10 species
UGUCGUGGUCGUGGAAUGGACAAGGACCCAGUCUUUAGCUGAACUAAGGGAAAGUCCUGCUUUUUGGCGCGCAACAGGGGAGCUCAAGAAACAGGCCUCACUCACGGCAUAUGGAACUAACCACGCCCCUAACUAAGAAGGCACACCUUAGUUGCAGUUAGCACACAAUUAAAGCAACUCUCCAAGUUUUACCUUAAAGUUCAAAAUUGCUAGGAGUUGAAACUACUAGAAAUAUAUUUACAUGCAAGAGUCAAAGAAACUUUGAACUAUUUAUGGCCUUUAAUAAUUAAGUAAGGUAUACUCCUGUGAUCAAGACUUGGAGCAUAU